UGGCUCAGGACGAACGCUGGCGGCACGCUUAACACAUGCAAGUCGAACGAGAGAAGAGAAGCUUGCUUUUCUGAUCUAGUGGCGGACGGGUGAGUAACACGUGAGCAAUCUGCCUUUCAGAGGGGGAUACCGAUUGGAAACGAUCGUUAAUACCGCAUAACAUAAUUGAACCGCAUGAUUUGAUUAUCAAAGAUUUAUCGCUGAAAGAUGAGCUCGCGUCUGAUUAGCUAGUUGGUAAGGUAACGGCUUACCAAGGCGACGAUCAGUAGCCGGACUGAGAGGUUGAUCGGCCACAUUGGGACUGAGACACGGCCCAGACUCCUACGGGAGGCAGCAGUGGGGAAUAUUGCACAAUGGAGGAAACUCUGAUGCAGCGAUGCCGCGUGAGGGAAGAAGGUUUUAGGAUUGUAAACCUCUGUCUUCAGGGACGAAAAAAGACGGUACCUGAGGAGGAAGCUCCGGCUAACUACGUGCCAGCAGCCGCGGUAAUACGUAGGGAGCGAGCGUUGUCCGGAAUUACUGGGUGUAAAGGGAGCGUAGGCGGGAUCGCAAGUUAGAUGUGAAAACUAUGGGCUUAACCCAUAAACUGCAUUUGAAACUGUGGUUCUUGAGUGAAGUAGAGGUAAGCGGAAUUCCUAGUGUAGCGGUGAAAUGCGUAGAUAUUAGGAGGAACAUCAGUGGCGAAGGCGGCUUACUGGGCUUUAACUGACGCUGAGGCUCGAAAGCGUGGGGAGCAAACAGGAUUAGAUACCCUGGUAGUCCACGCCGUAAACGAUGAUUACUAGGUGUGGGGGGAGUGACCCCCUCCGUGCCGCAGCAAACGCAAUAAGUAAUCCACCUGGGGAGUACGACCGCAAGGUUGAAACUCAAAGGAAUUGACGGGGGCCCGCACAAGCAGUGGAGUAUGUGGAUUAAUUCGAAGCAACGCGAAGAACCUUACCAGGUCUUGACAUCGUAUGCAUAGCUCAGAGAUGAGUGAAAUCUCUUCGGAGACAUAUAGACAGGUGGUGCAUGGUUGUCGUCAGCUCGUGUCGUGAGAUGUUGGGUUAAGUCCCGCAACGAGCGCAACCCUUACUGUUAGUUGCUACGCAAGAGCACUCUAGCAGGACUGCCGUUGACAAAACGGAGGAAGGUGGGGAUGACGUCAAAUCAUCAUGCCCCUUAUGACCUGGGCCUCACACGUACUACAAUGGCUGUCAACAGAGGGAAGCAAAGCCGCGAGGUGGAGCAAACCCCUAAAAGCAGUCUUAGUUCGGAUUGUAGGCUGCAACCCGCCUACAUGAAGUCGGAAUUGCUAGUAAUCGCAGAUCAGCAUGCUGCGGUGAAUAAGUUCCCGGGCCUUGCACA
rnacentral:rRNA from 1 species